UACGUAGGGGGCAAGCGUUGUCCGGAUUUAUUGGGCGUAAAGAGCGUGUAGGCGGCCAGACAGGUCCGCUGUGAAAACUCGAGGCUCAACCUCGAGAGGUCGGUGGAAACCGUCUGGCUAGAGUCCGGAAGAGGAGAGUGGAAUUCCCGGUGUAGCGGUGAAAUGCGCAGAUAUCGGGAAGAACGCCCGUGGCGGAGGCGGCUCUCUGGGACGGUACUGACGCUGAGACGCGAAAGCGUGGGGAGCGAACAGG
rnacentral:rRNA from 1 species